GCCUUACAAGAUGGACUUCGCUUGGCCCUGGAGUUUUAUUUGUCUUUGGAGAGACAGGAAUCUCGCUAUAUUGCCUAGGCUGGUCUCAAACUCCUGAGCUCAAGUGAUCCUCUCACCUUGGCCUCCCAAAGUGCAGGGGUUACAGAGUUGAGAGCGGAAAGGAGCGGAGAAGAGUGCAGAGCCCUGAGAAACCCAUCCUGCCAUGUACUGGAGAGAAGACACACAGAAAGGAUGAGGUUUGAAAUCCAGGAUGCUAAUUUCCACCCAAAGCACCCAUCUUACUCAGUAACAAGUUUUGUCUGCCUCAUCUGAAGAAUGGGGGUGUUGUUGAGCCCGGAGUGGAGUGUUCUCGGCAAAGGCAAAUGAUGUCAAAUGUUUAAUUCAAACUGGAAAAAAAUACUUGUGAGUCUCUGUUUUCCCACCUAUAAUGUGGCCUAAGGAUCAUCAGUGUUGAAACUAUGCUUAAAGGGAAACUUCCUCUUUAUAGUCAAGUUCUGCUUUCUGAUUCAAGCCUCUGUCAUCUUCUUUGCCAGGAGGCUGUGUCUGGGGGCUGGGGCUGGG